rnacentral:rRNA from 1 species
AGCUUGCUAUUUUGCUGACGAGUGGCGCACGGGUGCGUAACGCGUAUACAAUCUACCUUUUACAGGGGGAUAGCCUUUGGAAACGAAGAUUAAUACCCCAUGGCAAGUGGACAUGGCAUCAUGACCACUUUAAAAUUUCGGUGGUAAAAGAUGAGUAUGCGUCCUAUUAGCUGGAUGGUGUGGUAACGGCACACCAUGGCAACGAUAGGUAGGGGCCCUGAGAGGGGGAUCCCCCACACUGGUACUGAGACACGGACCAGACUCCUACGGGAGGCAGCAGUGAGGAAUAUUGGACAAUGGGCGGGAGCCUGAUCCAGCCAUGCCGCGUGCAGGAAGACUGCCCUAUGGGUUGUAAACUGCUUUUAUACGGGAAGAACCCCACCUACGUGUAGGUGGCUGACGGUACCGUAAGAAUAAGGAUCGGCUAACUCCGUGCCAGCAGCCGCGGUAAUACGGAGGAUCCAAGCGUUAUCCGGAAUCAUUGGGUUUAAAGGGUCCGUAGGUGGACGAUUAAGUCAGGGGUGAAAGUCUGCGGCUCAACCGUAGAAUUGCCUUUGAUACUGGUCGUCUUGAAUCAUUGUGAAGUGGUUGGAAUGAGUAGUGUAGCGGUGAAAUGCAUAGAUAUUACUCAGAACACCGAUUGCGAAGGCAGAUCACUAACAAUGUAUUGACACUGAUGGACGAAAGCGUGGGGAGCGAACAGGAUUAGAUACCCUGGUAGUCCACGCCGUAAACGAUGGUCACUAGCUGUUCGGACUUCGGUCUGAGUGGCUAAGCGAAAGUGAUAAGUGACCCACCUGGGGAGUACGUUCGCAAGAAUGAAACUCAAAGGAAUUGACGGGGG